rnacentral:rRNA from 1 species
UACUCGAGUGGCGAACGGGUGAGUAACACGUGGGUGAUCUGCCCUGCACUUCGGGAUAAGCUUGGGAAACUGGGUCUAAUACCGGAUAGGAACCAUCUUUAGUGUGGUGGUUGGAAAGUUUUUUCGGUGUAGGAUGAGCUCGCGGCCUAUCAGCUUGUUGGUGGGGUAAUGGCCUACCAAGGCGGCGACGGGUAGCCGGCCUGAGAGGGUGUACGGCCACAUUGGGACUGAGAUACGGCCCAG